GACGAACGCUGGCGGCGUGCUUAACACAUGCAAGUCGAACGGAGCGAAUGAAAGCUUGCUUUUAUAAGCUUAGUGGCAAACGGGUGAGUAACACGUAGGCAACCUGCCGACAGGAUGGGGACAACAUUCCGAAAGGAAUGCUAAUACCGAAUGAAGUCAGAGAAGGGCAUCCUUUUCUGAUGAAAGAUGGCCUCUAUAUAUAAGCUAUCACCUGUCGAUGGGCCUGCGUCUGAUUAGCUGGUAGGUGAGGUAACGGCUCACCUAGGCGACGAUCAGUAGCCGGUCUGAGAGGAUGAACGGCCACAUUGGGACUGAGACACGGCCCAGACCCUACGGGAGGCAGCAGUGGGGAAUCUUCCGCAAUGGGCGCAAGCCUGACGGAGCAACGCCGCGUGAGUGAAGAAGGUCUUCGGAUCGUAAAGCUCUGUUGAUGGGGACGAACGUGCCUAAUGCGAAUAGUAUUAGGU
rnacentral:rRNA from 1 species